UGCUACCUUCUUUGACGUAAUUGGCUUGGCUUCCAAAAUUUAAGGGUGUUGAAAACUGAAUAAAGAACAGCGGGUUGUUUCAUCGUUUUGAAGUCCGUUGUGUGCUAAGUAUAUUUUCUCUAGCUUGUGGUUCUAAUGAUUGACUAGUAAACGAGUUCUAUGAGAGUGUCUGCUUGUCCUCUUCAUCCAUUCAUGAAGUUAAAAUAUGUGCGAAUCUAUUGAUGGUUUCUUAUUUCUCUUCUGUGACCUUUCUAAAAAUAAAAAAUAAAAAAAAUUAUUAACAAAGUGUAAGACGGAUAAAUUAUUAUGUACUACCUGAGUUUGUUUUCUCUUUAUGCCCGGAUAACAAGGUUUCCUAGGCGUUCUAAUGACGCUAAAAAUCUGAAAGGAAUUAAAGAGAGUGAUAGUUUGUUUCAACAUGAUUUUUGCAUAGUCUGUCUGUCGGUAUUGUAGGGUUCGUUUUGAACUUUGACGUAAUUCAUUUGCGAUUUUGUAAUCUUGUUAUUCCGAACGAGCUGUGCUUACUCAAAGGGAGGUCUCAUUUGUUUGUGUACUCGAAAGCACUAAAAAAAAAAGGAGGGAAAAACAUUUCCCAAGCAAAGUAAGGUUAGUCCAGAAAACAAUUGAGGCAAAACAGAGAGUUAUGGGAUUUUCUUUGUAAGGGUGGUUGCUCCUCUCUGUUUACCCUAUGUUUGUUCAAAAAAAAAAAAAAAGGGGGAUCAUAAAUCAAAAACCCUUGGAUUCGCAUUGAUUUUCUUACAAAUUAAUGAAUCAUAUGACCAUGGAAAACGUACUACUAUAUUCCUCAACAACUACUCCAUAUGCUGUUUUUUUUUUUUUUUACCGUCUCUGUUUCUUUGUUUGUUUUUCUCUUUCUUGAUUCAUGAUAAUAAUAGAGGCAGUGAUGGUAGAUGAUAAUAGAGUAAUAUUUGUUUGACUGUAUAUUUUCAUGUAUAGAGCCUUGUGAAUAUAAAGUAUGCCUCCUAUAAGCUAUGUAUGUAUUUGGAGUUUGAGCUAAUCUAGAGAUAGAUUCCUGGGAAGACCAUUUAAAUAAUUUAAUAGGUCCAUUUUCUUGUUCACUUUAUUUCUUCUUGAUUGAGAAUGGUUACUAAUCCUUUUUUUUUUUUUUUUUUUUACAUGAACAACAUGGGAGUUUGUUGGAGUUGUGGCUCAACUCUAAUUCUGCCCAGGUCAUAGGAGCAGUCAGCAGCAGAUUUAUUUGCUCGUGUCUAGCCGUCCCCCUACUUCCACGUCUCGAGUCCCCGUCCUUCUUCCUUAUUCCAAACUUCAAGCCUCCAUAUUAUUUGAUACAUGCUAUUUAUAUUAUUUGACUAACACUCUUGUGAAUUUGUGAUUUUUGUAGUUUUGUUUUGAACGCGUAACUUGACUUAAGUAUAUUAGUAAGUUUGGUCAUUA